rnacentral:rRNA from 2 species
GAUGAACGCUGGCGGCGCGCCUAACACAUGCAAGUCGAACGGUUAAAGCAUCUUCGGAUGUGUAUAAAGUGGCGAACGGCUGAGUAACACGUGGGCAACCUGCCCUUUGCACUGGGAUAGCCUCGGGAAACCGAGGUUAAUACCGGAUACUCCAUAUUUGUCGCAUGGCGAAUAUGGGAAAGCUCCGGCGGCAAAGGAUGGGCCCGCGGCCUGUUAGCUAGUUGGUGGGGUAGUGGCCUACCAAGGCAAUGAUGGGUAGCCGGGUUGAGAGACCGACCGGCCAGAUUGGGACUGAGACACGGCCCAGACUCCUACGGGAGGCAGCAGUGGGGAAUCUUGCACAAUGGGCGAAAGCCUGAUGCAGCGACGCCGCGUGCGGGAUGAAGGCCUUCGGGUUGUAAACCGCUUUCAGCAGGGACGAGGCCGCAAGGUGACGGUACCUGCAGAAGAAGCCCCGGCUAACUACGUGCCAGCAGCCGCGGUAAUACGUAGGGGGCAAGCGUUAUCCGGAUUCAUUGGGCGUAAAGCGCGCGUAGGCGGUCUGUUAGGUCAGGAGUUAAAUCUGGGGGCUCAACCCCUAUCCGCUCCUGAUACCGGCAGGCUUGAGUCUGGUAGGGGAAGAUGGAAUUCCAAGUGUAGCGGUGAAAUGCGCAGAUAUUUGGAAGAACACCGGUGGCGAAGGCGGUCUUCUGGGCCAUGACUGACGCUGAGGCGCGAAAGCUAGGGGAGCGAACAGGAUUAGAUACCCUGGUAGUCCUAGCUGUAAACGAUGGACACUAGGUGUGGGGAGAUUAUACUUUCCGUGCCGCAGCUAACGCAUUAAGUGUCCCUCCUGGGGAGUACGGUCGCAAGACU